rfam:Medicago truncatula strain A17 chromosome 5, whole genome shotgun sequence.
AUCUUUGCGCUUGGGGCAAUGACGCAGCUAAUGAGGUACUAACCGAGGCGCGUCAAUUGCUGGUUGAAAACUAUUUCCAAACCCUCUCUUAGACUAGAGUUCAACUCUAGUCUUCGAGAAUUUCUGGAAGGACUCCCUUUUAGGGGUAAAGUC